GGCUCGUGGACAGCAGAAGAUUCAGUCGCAGCAGAAAAAUGCCAAAAAACAAGCUGAGCAAAAAAAGAAACAAGGACAUGAUCAGAAGGCUGCAGCCAAGGCUGCCUUGAUAUAUACCUGCACUGUCUGUAGGGUGAAGUCAUGGCACCUAUUGACUCUUCUACUGUCAGAUCUUACAUAACAAACCUGCAGCUGCUUUUCUAAAACUGUUGAUCAGCAAAAAUGAAGGGGCUACAGAAACAUUCAUAUUUUUAUGCUGUUCCCUCUUGGGCUUCAUGCAAAGACAAUUCUGUGUAAAUGUACAGUUGUGCCCUAUUUGGAAAUCCUGAAAAAUCAGUCCAUACUUGUUAUAAAAAAUUUUUUACAAUUGUAAUUAUAUUGAUGUUCAUAUUGUGUAAAAUAACUCAUUUAAUAAAGUAGUACUUUGAUUUUACAGUA